UACGUAGGGUGCAAGCGUUGCCCGGAUUUAUUGGGCGUAAAGGGCGCGUAGGCGGCUCUGCACGUUCGUUGUGAAAUCGCCCGGCUCAACUGGGCGGGGUCAGCGGAUACGGCAGAGCUUGAGCAAGCUAGGGGGCAAUGGAAUUCCCGGUGUAGUGGUGGAAUGCGUAGAUAUCGGGAGGAACACCAGUGGCGAAGGCGGUUGCCCUGGGGCUUUGCUGACGCUGAUGCGCGAAAGCGUGGGGAGCGAGUCCGG
rnacentral:rRNA from 1 species